UCAAAUUCCUGAGAAUUAUAAGUUAUCAUUUUUAGUUAAUCUAACACAUUCGUAUAUGUUUUUAAACUAAAAACAAUAAUUACUUUUCUGAAUUCUGAUUGCUUUAUUAGUAUUUAAAAAAUUUAAUUAAAGUUCUUUUUUUUGUAUCUACCACUUUGAAUUUUAUAAAAUUGACAUUGAAUUAGUAAUCAAUUUUCAGAAAGUUUUCCACCAUAAUGGAUCCGCCAUUUUGAAUUUCGAAAAUUAGAUAUUAAAUUCGUGAUCAGCGACCCUAAAAACCGCCGAUUAACUAGAAUCAAACAAUUUUAAUAUAUAGAAGAGCAUUCAAAUAGUUGUUUUCUAGAAAAACUUAUUUCGCACGAUAGUUCCCCUCUCAAGUGACCAGGUUACAGAUAAUAAUUGAUAUGACUCAAUUAUCGAUCAGUAUAAAAUCCCUUUGCUUUUGAAGUGUAUACUUAUUAAUGUUUUAACUUUUUCGAUAUCAAUUCUCUAUUGACCUAGCUUGAAGGAAAAAAAAUGGCUGGAUUCAAAUCAAUUGGAUUAUUGUUGAUGCUGAUUGCAACAAUCAUAAUGAUGGUAGCUCCAUCUGCAAUGGCGGCUUGCCUUAAAAAUGGCAGAAAAUGUAAAGCUAAUGGAAAAUGGGGUAACUGUUGUUCUGGAUAUUGUCAUCAACUAAUAGGCAAAUCAAGUGGAAUAUGCCGAAGACGUUAAUGAUAUUUUUUUGAUACAUUUGACACAAAUGAUCAAUAAUAAUUAAUUUAGAAGACGUGAUAAUAAUUACCACUCCUAUUGAUUUUAAAAACAUUUAAAAUUGGCAUAUAAUCUUUAAUAUAUUAUGUAUUUUUUUAGCCAAUAAAAAAUUUCAUUAAAAAUUUGUAAAAUAAA